CUACGGACUUAGAAAACUGAGCCUUGAUAGAGAAAUCUUUCAAGUGGAAGCUCUCAAAUUCAGGGAAACCUAAAUCUGUUUACAGAUAUGGCAAUCCUGAGCCAAGCCCGGAAAUUUUAGAAUCAAGAUUUUAUUUUGGCUUUCAAUUUGAAAUCAGAAAUUCAAAAUUCAGGGAAGGUGCAGAGACUCGACGGGAGCUACCCUAACGUAAAGGCGAGGGUAAAGGGAGAGUCCAAUUCUUAAAG
rnacentral:ncRNA from 1 species